GGCUCGAUAGCUUAGUUGGUAAAGCACUUGUCUAGCGAAUAAGGGUCGUGAGUUCAAAUCUCACCUGAGCUG
rnacentral:tRNA from 1 species